UGAUGCAUCGUACAUUCGCAAAGGGGCAUCACAGUAUUAUUACACUAUUCUACAAUGAAAAUCUGACGAAAGAUAUCCAAACAUUUGCAAUUACUGCUGAGAUCCAUAACAACCGGCAUUUAACUUUGUCGAAUGGAGCCUUUUAAGUUUUGGGUUGAACCGCAAAACAUCUGACAUACUACCAUUCGUUACGUUCCAACGAACUGAGGGUAUUCCUGUUAUGGAUAGAGUCUUAAUGCAGACAUUUCAAACGACUAAUGUUUCAAAAACCCAGUGGGGUUUAUUUCUCUAUUUGUACUUGUCUUUAUGUUGAUAUAGAGCCAUAUAACCUAGACUGAUUUUCCUAAUUUAAUUAUCUAGCGUUCUACUAGAAGACAAGUACAAGAAUCAGCUUCCAAAACUGUUCCUAUUAAAUGUAUAUGUUACCAGUAGUCACAGGGGCUUUCUCCUUCUUUUCCAUGACUUAGAUCUAAGACCUUUACUAGUUAAAAACUGGUAUAAAAAUUUUAGUCGGAAUUUAACAAAAAUUGUGAACUACCGAUACAAUUUUGAAAAAGUUUAAAAAUCUAUCUGCUCUUUGAUGACUAAAUCCAUUUCUUACUGUUUCUCUAAUAAGAAACUUGUUUAUAUUGCUUAAGUAUAACAGUGUAAAGCUACGAAUACAUCGAAAGAAACUGAUAACAAUUUAAUUGUUUACAUUAUCACUAAUCAUACGUAACAUAUUUAGAACUAAUAUAUAUUUAUUAGAGUGAAAUUUUAUUCAAAAGUUUAGUUUCCUCAUUGCGAACCGUUAUCAUCGACGCUUAGCUCUUAUAAAGGACUUCAAUUCCGGCACAUAAAAUUAUAUUUCUAAAUAAAUAUAGGUAACAAAAAUUUAUAGUAAAAAUCUAAGCUAGAGGAUGAAUCUAAAUAAGAGGCGUAUAUUUGAAAAAAAAAAAAAUUGGCCCCUAGGCUCGGUCACAGACGGGGACUAUAUCACAAAAAAAUUAUUACAAUCAGCUGACAACCUUCAAAUGUGUUUUCAUCAUAGAACACCUCUCAAAAAUCAAUGGGACCUCAUGGGACAGUUUAGGAUUUACAGUAGCUUCUAUUUGGUGAAUAAUGGAAAAGAACUUUUCAAAAUAAAGAAGAAACUCCAGUUUUUUCUCAAAAGAAAAAUUAUAACAAAAUUGUUGAGACGUUCGGAGACAGUUUGAACUAGUAGAACCUUCUUUUUGUUGAAUAAUUGAAAAUGAUGUCACACCAAUUGUUGAAGACAGUCGUCCAAACAAAAGUCUAAACGUCAAGCGUUUGAUCAAGAGUCGAAUUAAAUCAUAUAAAAUAUGUCUCUAAAAAUUUAUAUCGGAACAGAUGAUAUUGAUAUCAUCGGAAGCAACAACCGUUUGUUCUGCUUUUUUCCAGACUUGAUAAGGAAGCGAAUCGUAUGGUUCUGGUGGUGAAUGAGGACAAGACGAAAUAUCUCCUAACACCAAGCAAACAGUCAGCGCACUCGCGUUUUGGCUCCCACGUCACUGUUGACAGUCAUAACUUUGAAGUUGUAGAUAGUUGCGUCUACUUGAGAACCAGCAUUAACAACUCCAACAAUGUCAGCCUCGAAUUCCAACGCAGAAUCACUCUUGCCAACAGGUGCUACUUCGGUCUGAGUAGGCAAUUGAAAAGUAAAGUCCUCUCUCGACGAACCAAAAUCAAACUCUACAAGUCGCUUAUCAUUCCCGCCCUGCUUUAUGGUGCAGAAGCUAGGACGAUGUCAUCAUCAGAUGAGACGGCACUAGGAGUUUUCGAGAGGAAAAUUUUGCGCAAGAUUUAUGGUCCUCUAAACAUUGGUAAAGGCGAAUACCGCAGACGAUGGAACGUUGAGCUGUAGGAUUUAUACAGCGACAUUGACAUAGGCCAGCGAAUAAAAAGACAGUGGCUACGAUGGCUAGGGCAUGCUGUACGAAUGGAUGAAAACACUCCAGCUCUGAAAGUGUUCAAUGCAUUGCCAGCUGGGAGAAGCCGCGGAAACAGACAACCUCCAUUCAGAUGGAAAGACCAAGUGGAAAGUGACCUGGCGUCACUUCAUUGAUACCCUUGUUUCGACUGUAUAGAAUUCCUUUAAAAGGAAUAUACAUGGUUAAAAUCAUGCAUUAAGAAAUACUCCAUAAAUCUCCAAAACUCUCUCACUUAGGGCCGGAAUUUUUAAAAUAGAUGUACUUUAGAGUUUUAAAUUCAAAUUCGAAAUCUUUAGUAGUACAUUUUCCAAAUAUAAGCCUAAGUUAGAUAAUUCAUUAAAUUAGCUAUAAAUUAUUUUUAAUAUAUUUUCAAGAACUUCGAAACAUUAAAAACAUAUGAUAAGCCUUAGUAUUAGAAUAUUUCUUAAUUUAGUUAUAAUUUAUUUCUAAUAUAAUUUUCAUUUUAAUUUUUUUGCAAGAACUUCGAAAAUUUUCGAACAUAAAAAAUAUGUAUAAGCCAUUUUUAGAUUAAUCC